UCAGUAACGGCAGGCUUACGGGGUAGGUCGGGAGACAGGCGUUGGUCGGUACACGGGAGGUAGACGUCAGGAGUACGGUAGUGCGGGAAUGAGGCAUGAGAGGCAACGAUCUAGCAGAGUAAUAGUCGUCCCCCGGGUCCUAUAUGUACUGGGUCUUAAUCAAAGGUCAUGAGGCGCAGGUGUGCACCUUCAGACUAGCUGGCCACGCCCAGCCCUGGCUGGAAUCCAGGAGCAUGACACUUUCGACAACAUUUGGACUGUGCAACAAGGAGGGAGGAAAAACUACAGCUUCUAUGGGCUAAAUAUCAAUUGUAAACUGAUAUUUUCUUCUCAUUCUUUUCUUCCGUGGUUAUUUUUAUAGUUAAGCAAGCUGGUGAAAAGUUGUGGCGAUGCUGUAUGAGUCCUGAAGCGUGUGGUGUAGAACCAGGAUUGCAUCUCAGUCGAUGGACUUCAGAAGUGUUAAUCUUUCCUGCAUAGCUGAGAAAACCGUCUGGCGCCAUCCUCCUCUCCCAGGCAUUGCCGAGGAGACGAACGACACCAGAUAAGGAGCGGAAAGUUACUAUCCUGGCCCAGGACCAGAAUGUGGGGGGGCCAGCCAGUUUUACCAUGGACCCAUACAAAUAAAAACAUUGUGUUACCGGGCUAUGUUUGGCUAUCCUCCCAGAAGACACAUGUCUCGUGUGUGGCAGAUACCUCGAUAAA